rnacentral:rRNA from 1 species
UUCUUACCGCUUAUUAUUGUAAGUAUCACCUGCUCAAUGAUUUUUAAAUAGCCGCGGAAAUUUAACCGUGCUAAGGUAGCAUAAUCAUUAGCCUCUUAAUUAGAGGCUCGUAUGAAUGGUGAAACAUUUCAAUUUCUUUUUUAAUUAAUUAUUUUUAAUUUAAAUUAAGAAUAAAAAUGUUCUUAUUAAUAAAAAAGACGACAAGACCCUUUUGAACUUAACUUUAGUUUAGCUGGGGCAGCUAAUAAAAAAUUAUCUUUGUCUUAUUCUUAAAAUAAAUGACCCAAUAUAAUUGAUUAUUUGAACAAGUUACCAUAGGGAUAACAGCGUAAUAUCUUUUUUAAGUUCUUAUUUAAAAAGAAGAUUGCGACCUCGAUGUUGAAUUAAUGUAACUUUACUGGUGCAGUAAUUUUAAAAGUGGGUCUGUUCGACCCUUAAAACAUUACA